AUGUAUACACUUGACUAACAUUAAAAACAGUAAAAGUAUUAUCAUUUAAGGCAACUAAAUUGUAUCAAUCCUUUUCUAUCAGUUUUAUACAGCUUUGUCUAUUCUAUUUUUGAAUAUGACUUAAAUUUUAAGGUAGGUACCCUUACAAAGUGUACAAUAUUUGUAAACUGAAGCACGUAUAUCGUAACUCUUUUGCUAUUCUAAGUUUAUCCUAGGCCCUGACAAUGACUAUAAUCUAUUCCAAAUAAAUUUGCACAAAUUUACAAAAAACCAUUUGCAUGAGUACAUGACCAUUGUCAUUUGCUGCCAACAGUGAGUGCUAUUGUAAUAUGAUGAUGGUCAACUACAGCGCUUACUGUUUGCAACAAAAUGAAUGUGAAAGCGAUCCCAUUUUUGAAAUGUGAGCAAACUUAUUUGGAAUAGAGUAUAAAUACUUCAAUUGCAAACCAUUUGGAUUACAGUUCACUGGUAGAACAUAGAAAACAAAUCUAAUACUUUUAAAGAAAGAAUAAAACGAUUCUAUAUUAGACUCACUAACAUUACAUACUGGGAUAUAUUUUUUUGUUCUCCACAAAAAAGUUGCAUCUUUUUUUUAGUUCUUAAUUUAGACAUCAACUAUGCGUUUAAUAACCAAUAACCCUCUCUGAUAUGAACCUCGCUAAUAAGAACUUCUCAGAACCCAAAUAUUGUUUAUAAAAUAUUAUAUUUCAUGCAUCUUUUUACGUAAUAAAUAUUUGGGUCCAACCCGUUAUAUAACUAAAACUAAUAUAAAAUAAAAUAAUGCAUUGGUAAUUUAUACCAAAUCCUACUUUAAUUAUAGAUUCGUAAUAAUUAAUAAUACAAACUAAUAUUUGAUUCUAUAGUUAAACUAAAUUCAACUAUAUCAGCCCUGUAAGUAUUUGUGUAAAACAAUAUUCAUGCACUUGUGUGUAUGAACGGGUAUAGAUCAUUGCUCAAACAAAAUUUAUUUUAAAAUAAUAUCUAAUUUACUGUUAAUGUUUUCCUUUACAAUUAACCUAAACAAUUAAAAUUUAAAAUUCAUACUUAGUGCAUCCCUCAAUAUAAAAAUUAAUUAUAUUUGUUUAGAUUUCAGUUUAAAUUGAAGAAAUUAUAAAGGUACCUCCUCGGAUAGCUCACAAGGUAGGUAAUAUCAAUAGGUAAUAAACGUUAUCUUUAAUAGUUUAAUACUUUAAUCUGUUGAUGGACAGCACCUAACAAUUAGUUUUUAAUGCAUCUCAUUAUUAUAUAGUCAACAUUAACAUGACAAUAGAUAUAUAGCUUAGUAGUAAUCUACAAAAACAUUUGAAAAAAAAAAAACUCAACCUCAACUCAAAACUAUUAAGUCCUACCUAAUAAUAAUAAUUACCUAUGCAAUUUAAGUAUAGUUUUCAAUAAGCAGGGUUUACAGUCAAUAAAAUAUAUUUGAGUACCUAGAACGAAAAUGGUUUAAAGUCAAAGGUUUUACUUGAUGAAACUAUUAAAUUCAACUUAGUUCAAACUUAGAACAGUUGAAACCUGUUAAUUAAACAAAAUUGUAUUCAUACAUACAUAUAUAUAAGUUCUUAACAGACUCUUUGCACUUCAAUACAUAAGUUAUAACUUAUAAGUAUCGGUAGGUAGAUACUAUUUUCUACUAUUCUUACUCUUUGAUAUCUAAACAUACCUACAUAAUUUUUGUAUAAAUACG